rnacentral:rRNA from 1 species
ACCGGAGGCUAACACAUGCAGUCGAGCGGCAGCGCGCGGGCACCCUGGCGGCGAGCGGCGGACGGGUAGAUGCGUCGGAAUCUGCCUCUUUGUGGGGGAUAACGUAGGGAAACUUACGCUAAUACCGCAUACGACCUACGGGUGAAAGUGGGGGACCGCAAGGCCUCACGCAGAGAGAUGAGCCGACGCCGGAUUAGCUAGUUGGCGGGGUAAAGGCCCACCAAGGCGACGAUCCGUAGCUGGUCUGAGAGGAUGAUCAGCCACACUGGAACUGAGACACGGUCCAGACUCCUACGGGAGGCAGCAGUGGGGAAUAUUGGACAAUGGGCGCAAGCCUGAUCCAGCCAUGCCGCGUGUGUGAAGAAGGCCUUCGGGUUGUAAAGCACUCUUGUCCGGAAAGAAAAGCAUUCG